UACGUAGGGUGCAAGCGUUGUCCGGAAUUAUUGGGCGUAAAGAGCUUGUAGGCGGUUUGUCGCGUCUGCUGUGAAAUUUCGGGGCUCAACCCCGGACUUGCAGUGGGUACGGGCAGACUAGAGUGUGGUAGGGGAGACUGGAAUUCCUGGUGUAGCGGUGGAAUGCGCAGAUAUCAGAAGGAACACCGAUGGCGAAGGCAGGUCUCUGGGCCACUACUGACGCUGAGAAGCGAAAGCAUGGGGAGCGAACAGG
rnacentral:rRNA from 1 species